rnacentral:rRNA from 1 species
CAAAAACAUAGCUGUAUGAAAUUAUAUACAGUAUUUUCUGCUCAAUGAGAUAUUAAAUAGCCGCAGUACCCUGACUGUGCAAAGGUAGCGUAAUCAUUUGGCUUCUAAUUAAAGUCGCGUAUGAAUGAAUAUAUGGGGACUUUCUUUACCAUAUAUGCAUAAUGAAAUUGCUUAGUGAGUGAAAAUACUCAUUGAUAAAUAAUAGACGAGAAGACCCUAGAAAUUUUUCUUAUGUUUUGUUGGGGCAACAAGGCAGCAUGGAUAAUCUGCUAAUGAGACGCGAAAUUGAUUUGAUUGAUUAAAUUACUCUAGGGAUAACAGCAUAAUUCAUAAGAGUUUGUGACCUCGAUGUUGGACUAGGAAUCUAUGGCCCAGAAGGCUUCAAGACAUGCUCUGUUCGAGC